AUGUGUGUGGUGUAGGAAUUUCAGAGUGAUGAGCAUCAAAUGCCACUAAUUACAUACCUUAGGAAAUUCCCUCCCAGUGUGAAUAAAGGCAAGAGACAUGGGAUGGAGAGAUGGAUGGUGCAGCACAUAGACAUGUGCUUUGGCAGGCAACGAAGAAUGUGUCCGUUCAUUUGUGGUUCCUCAUUUCCCAGGGGAGGGUGCUUGGAGCUCUAUAAAAAGGCCCUGUGUCUCUGAGCUCUUCACUCAUUGACUUGCAUCUCCGCCGAGCUUACAAGUUCUGACUGCUGCACAAGCUUCAUUACAUCAAAAUGUCCUGUUGUGGAAGCCACCGCUGCUCCCGAUGUGGCUGCUCCCCCUGCUGCUGCUGCAGGACCACCUGCUGUUCCCGCUGUGGCUGCUCCCCCUGCUGCUGCCGCAGAGUUACCUGCUGUUCCCGCUGUGGCUGCUCCCCCUGCUGCUGCCGCAGGGUCACCUGCUGUUCCCGCUGUGGGCGCUCCCCCUGCUGCUGUGGCCAGUCAUACUCCUCUUCCCAGCAGUACAAGCGCUGAACACAUUAGAAAUUGCUAACGAGGCUCUGGAUGCAAAUAACAGCAUGCCAGUCCAGCACCUGGAAACAAAAUCCUUCAUGCUGGUUGCCACCUCAACACCCAGAAUAUUGAGAUUAAUGUCAACACACACACAUAUAUUUAAACACCCACUGAUUGCCUUCUUGGACUGAUAUCACUGAGUUAGAUGCCACUUCUUGCCUCCUUCAUGAAAUUGGAGAUUCUUCCAUCCUAUUUGAAAAUCCUAGUAAUGGAGUCUUGGCUUUUUCAUAGCAUUUAUGGUGCUCCUAUCUUCCCUUCGGUGUUUGGGAUGUGAUUGUCUCUUCCUAGUUCUGUAUUAACUUUCCCAAUUAAAUUCUGGAAUCAUG